GGUGGGGUUGUUAGGAAAUAUGCAACUUGUAUUCCCCGAGGGCCAAUGGCCAAUAUAUAUACAUGUACAAAUGGUAAAUAUGCAGGAAACCCCUCAUACAACAAGGAAAAUAUACAUGCUACAAUUAACUCUUAACACCCCCCCCCUCAAACACAUGGUGGAUAAACAACACUAAGUUUUGAGAGAUAGAAGACAUGUUGCGCUCUAGUCUGGGUCUUCGUAAAGAAAUCCGCCAACUGUAACUCGGAAGGCACAUACUGAAGAGCAAUAACCUGAUCCUGCACACCAGCGCCCACAUACAAAGCAUCAACACCAAUAUGCUUGGAGGUCAGGCUUCACAAGGCCGCGCACAAUGCUAAUAGCACCUGUGCUGUCAGACAAUAGUAGAGUAGGUGUAGUGACAUAAAUACGAAAGUCCUGAAGUAACCACCGUAACCAAGUCACCUCUGUCGUCAAAAGAGCCAUAGCUCACAACUCAGCCUAUGCACUCGAACGGGAAACUGCAGUCUGCUUCUUCGUCUUCCAUGCAAUGAGAGAACCAUCAAGAAAAACACAAUAAGAAGGAAGUGAACGGGGAUCCGAGGGAUCUAUAGCCCAUAUAGCAUCCGAAUAGGCUUGAAGCUAUAAGGAACCAGAGCGAGGAAAGAACAUGUAGUGAGAGGUCGUGCCCCGAAGAUAUCGGAGAACACAAAGGAGGUGGCUAUAGUGAAACGAAGUGGGAGCAGAGACAAACUGACUCAAAAUAUGGACCGGAUAACAGAUAUCCGGACAAGUGACAGCUAGAUAGACAAGAUUCCCAACAAGAUGAUGAUAACACGUCGGAUCAAACAAGGGGCCAUCAUCAGUAUCACGGAGGUGAACAUUGAGCUCCAUGGGAGUCUCAAUAGUGCGCAUUAGUAAGAGCAGCACGAGCAAGAAGAUCCUGGAUAUACUUUUCCUGGGAAAUAGAAAAGCCAUUAGAGGUAGAAGAGACCUCGAUCCCAAGAAAGUAGCGAAGAGGGCCAAGAUCAAACAUAAGAAACUGCUCACCAAGACGAGCCUUCACAAAGCCUAUAUACUCGGGGUCGUCGCCAGUGAUAAUCAUGUCAUCAAUGUAUACAAGAAGAGUCCGACCACGAGUAUAAUGGUGGACAAACAUCGCUGUAUCAUGAGCACUCGCUGAAAAACCAGCGGCAAUCACCACAAAGGUAAAACACUCAAACCAGGCGUGGGGGGCCUUGCUUAAGGCCAUAGAGAGAGCAAUGAAGACGUCAUACCAUGCCAUCAGGAACCAAAUACUCAAGUGGGGGCUGCAUGUAAACCUUCUCACGCAACUCACCAUUAAGAAAGGCUCUUAACAUCAAGCUGAGACACUGACCAGUGGAGACCAGAGGUCACGACAAGUGUGCGAAUAGUGGUCAUAUGGGCCACAGGAGCUAAAGUCUCAUAACUGCCAUGCUCCUGUUGAAAGCCACGAGCCACAAGACGAGCUUUGUAACGCUCAAGAGAACCAUCGGAGCCAGUCUUAACCUUGUAGACCCACUUACAACUGAUGGGACGAACACCGGGAGGAAGAGAAACAAGAUCCCACAUGCCGGUAUGCUCAAGAGCAGCAAGCUCCUCUGCCAUCGCAAACUGCCAUUCUGGAAGUAGCAAAUGCCUCUCCGUCACGUGGUGCCACACGGAUGGAGCAAACAUAACAACACCCCAGCUUAACCAGAGGCACUUAUCUGAAGCCACACCUCGGAUAGAACAGUUCUUGGUCACAAAGAUGCUUAACAAUUGUGCAAGAUCACAACCUUUGUCAUCGGUGGUGAGCAAGGUGUUGUUGGUGGUGGAGGCACAACCAUAACAAUCACAUCAUGACCACUCUCGCUGUCUCGUUGCCCUUCCUCUAGUGCUAACACUACAAUAUUCUCCAAUCAUCCAAUGUGGUUUAGAAGCUGGCAUGGCAGAGAUAGCUUCCAAUAUGAAUCUAAGGCUCUUACCAUGAGAUUGAUCUCACUUUGCUGCUUCUCUAACUUCAAUAAUGCUUUUUGCACGCUUAAGAAAGCAAACAUUGCACAUUCACUGGUUACUAGAUAAUGCAUGUUCAUGUUGAGUAGUUUGUGUCCUCUAAUUAUGGACUUUAAGUGAAGGACCCUUGUGUCUAUGGGCCCCGAACCCGAACAAAUACAUACACUUUAUUGGUAUUUAGUUUAUUGGUUUUAUCCUGAACCAACAGAAUCCCUUAAGUUGAUUUGCAUGCCCGGGGUAAAUUGAUAUUUUGGCUAAAGUUAAUCUUCAUCGGAGUAGCUUACCAUACCUCCUUUGUCAUGUAAUCCCUUCAGUUAAUCUAAUGGUGUACUUAGGAACCAUGAUUUUAGUGGAUGAAGAUGGUGACUUGCAUUCGUAAGGUGGCCUAAGAGAAAUUUGGAGUGUCUAGGGGAAGUAGAAGUGAAGUUAAAGGUACCUGGUGGUGGAAUGAUGCUGUCCAGAAGGCUAUUAAGGAGAAGAAAGACUGUUUCAGACGCCUAUACCUAGAUAGGAGUGUAGACAACAUAGAGAACUACAGGAUGGCAAAGAAGGCCGCAAAGCGAGCUGUGAGUGAAGCAAGGGGUCGGGCGUAUGAGGACCUCUACCAACGGUUAGACACGAAGAAAGGCGAAAGGGACAUCUAUAAGAUGACCAAGAUCCAAGAGAGGAAGACAAAGCAGACCAGCUCGUGGUGAAGGACGAGGAGAUUAAGCAUAGAUGAUGGGAGUACUUCGACAAGUUGUUCAAUGGGGAGAAUGAGAGCUCUACCAUUGAAUUGGACGACUCCUUUGAUGAUAGCAACAGACGUUUUGUGCAGCAAAUCCAGGAGAUGAGAUCAAGGAGGCUUUAAAAAGGACAAGAGGAGGCAAGGAACGGGCCCUGAUUGUAUCCCCAUUGAGGUGUGGGGAGGCCUCGGGGGCAUAGCGACAGUAUGGCUAACCAAGCUUUUCAACCUCAUUUUUCGGGCAACCGCAAUUGAGACGGAGUAUAUUAGUACCAAUCUUCAAGAAGAAGGGGGGGGGUGUUCAGAGUUGUACUAAUUACCGUGCAAUGAAGCUGAUGAACCAUACAAUGAAGCUAUGGGAGAGAGUCAUUGAGCGUCGCUUAAUAAGAAUGACAAGCAUGACCAAAAAUCAGUUUGGUUUCAUGCUUGGGAGGUUGACCAUGGAAGCCAUUUUCUUGGUUCGACGACUUAUGGAGAGAUACAGGGAGCAAAAGGACCUGCAUAUGGUGUUCAUUGACUUGGAGAAGGCCUAUGAUAAGAUACCGUGGAAUGUCAUGUGGUGGGCCUUGGAGAAACAUAGAGUACUAGCAAAGUACAUUACCCUCAUCAAGGACAUGUACGAUAAUGUUGUGACAAGUGCUAGAACAAGUGAUGGCGACACUGAUGACUUCCCGAUUAAAAUAAGACUACACCAGGCCCUUGUCUUUUUCCUUUGGGAUGGAUGGCCACAAGGGAUAUACAAGGAGAUAUCCCAUGGUGUAUGCUCUUUGCGGAUAGUGUGGUGCUAGUCAAUGACAGUCAGACAAGGGUCAAUAGGAAGUUAGAACUAUGGAGACAAACCUUGGAAUCGAAAGGUUUUGGACUUAGUAUAACUAAAACCGAGUACAUGAGGUGCGGUUUCAGUACUACUAGGCACGAGGAGGAGGAGGAGGUUAGCCUUGAUGGGCAGGUGGUGCCUCAGAAGGAUACCUUUCGAUAUUUGGGGUCAAUGUUAUAGAAGGAUGGGGAUAUCGAUGAAGAUGUGAAUCAUCGAACCAAAGCCGGAUGGUUGAAGUGGUGCCAAGCUUACGGCAUUCUCUGUGACAAGAGAGUGCAACAAAAGCUAAAAGGCAAGUUCUAUUGGACGGUGAUUCGACCCGCAAUGCUAUAUGGCGCUGAGUGUUGGCCGACUAAAAGGCGAUAUGUUCAACAGUUAGGUGUGGCGGAGAUGUGCAUGUUGAGAUGGAUGUGUGGCCACACAAGGAAGGACCGAGUCCGGAAUGAUGAUAUACGAGAUAGAUUUGGGGUAGCACCGAUUGAAGAGAAGCUUGUCCAACAUCGUCUGAGAUGGUUUGGGCAUAUUCAACACAGGCCUUCAGAAGCUCCAGUGCAUAGCGGACGGCUAAAGUGUGCUGAUAAUGUCAAGAGAGGUCGGGGUAGACCGAACUUGAUAUGGGAGGAGUCCGUAAAGAGAGAUCUGAAGGACUGGAGUAUCACCAAAGAACUAGCCAUGGAUAGGGCUGCGUGGAAGCUUGCUAUCCAUGUGCCAGAACCAUGAGUUAGUCGCGAGAUCUUAUGGUUUUUAUCUUUAGCCUACCCAAUUUGUUUGGGACUAAAGGCUUUGUUGUUGUUGUUGUGGUCUCCCACUCCACUCUGUCAUUUAAACCAGUGCAGCAGAAGUAGAAGCCAUGGUGUUGUAGCUUGGAUUCCAAAUGUUAUAAACAUUAGUUCAUAAUGCGGAUAAACAAUGCAUGAAGGCCUGACAGGUGACAGGGAUUGUGAGAUUUAGAUGUGAGAGAGACUAAUUAAUUAUUCUUGCCUAAUAAAAGGUACUGCUCCCUCCAGUUCUCUAUAUGUUGUCCUUUUGGACAUUCAAAUACUCUGAAACACAACUUUGACAGAUAAUUUCCACCUAUGUCCAAAACGAUAAUUUUCAGGGAAUCAGAGGAAAUAAACGAUGUUAACCAUUAACAAUAUUAUCUAAGAAAAAAAUCCACUCCAGUCUUGCCAAUUUUGUUUCAAUAUAACCGUAAUAAUGCAAACACACUAACUUACAUCCUUGGUAUUUGUCUUCUAGUAGUGCAUAUUAGUAUAUUUUAAAUCAUCAUUCACUGCAAAGUGCACAUAACUUAGCCUUAGAUAAGGCCUUCCUUUCUUGAUUCUGCAUUUGCACUGGGGCAAUCUGUUAGCACUUGUCUUAUCCACCGAACCAUUUGAUCUUAACUACGCCUGAGUCUUGCUCUACAUAACUGCCGAAACCAAUCUUUGCAGGGGUCUCUCCAACUUCCAUUGCUGUUCAGUCGCCUUACAUUGCUCAGGUACAACUUUUAAGAGAUAGACUAGAAGAAUAUCCAGAGGCUUUGGGUGUUGAGGUGUCAACCAUAGAUAGCUUCCAGGGGAGGGAGGCAGAUGCGGUGGUCAUAUCAAUGGUUCGGUCAAACUCCUUGGGAGCGGUAGGGUUCCUUGGCGACAACAGGCGCAUGAACGUAGCCAUUACCAGGGCACGGAGGCAUGUCGCACUUGUGUGCGAUAGUUCUACGAUUUGCAACAAUGAGUUCCUGGCCAGGCUCCUUCACCAUAUCCGUCAGCAUGGCCAAGUAAGGCAUGUUGAACCUGGUUCCUACGGUGGUGAUUAUGGCCUUGGCUUCAGCCCACCUGCUUUGCCUUCCAUCAAUUAGUGCUCCGCUCACUUGCCAGCAAAUCGGCAAUGCUUCAGUAUUCUGUUUCUCCGCAAAUCGGCAAUGCUUCAGUGUUCUGUUACUCCAUGGCUCCAUGCAUAUGUCACCGCAGUUCUUGAGUGGUAAAACUGGGAGGUCCAUCAUUUACUACGGUUCUGAGGCUGGUACUUUUGGCGAUUGGCUGUCCUGAAUGAACUGUGUGGCCAGACCAAGUUGUUUAUCAUGCAGUUUUUGCGUUUAGCAGCAGAAACAAUUAACUGGCCUGGGGUUUGUUUUUUUGAACUUAACUGGCCUGGGUUGUAAUAUACGUACUGCUUACCUGACGAUGGUUGAAUAUUAUCGAGUGUUGCACACUGGAAUAUUCGAUUACAAAGAUGUACACUAA